CAUGUCCAGCUCCAACUGAGAUGCGAAUCGCAAAAAGUAGGUGAUGAGCCAAAGAAAGUGCGAUUUGUCUAAGGGAAGAUCGUCUUCCUGCAACAACUGUUGAUGUAGUUGACCCACCAGUGUGUUGUAACCUACAAGAUCAAAAAAUCGACAGUGAACUCUUUCAACAGUUGUGAAAUAUCUUCCUCUGUUGGACUGUAUUGGACGGCCUUUAACUUGAUGUGACCAAUAGUCCGGCUUCGUUUGCUCAACUUUUUUCUUCGCUGUUCUUUCUCUGGAGGUGGCAUUUUCCCAGUUUUGUGAUUCACUUUGUUGUUUCUAGAGAAACAGAGAAGAAUUUCAUCAACCAUGUUUUUCAUUUUCACCAUUUUCUUAGCAACACGGGAUAUACCUCUUGGUAGAACUAUCUUCGGUUUGCUGGUUUAUCGUAGCUGCAAUGCCACUAGCAUUCAGUGCUUCUGCGUUAAUUAUGCCAGAAAUUGGAGUCGAAAUAAUAGUUUCACUCCUCCUCUCAGAAUUCUGCGAGUUGCCAUGACAGCGACGUUUGGAUGAUUUUUCUUUAUGAUCAUCCGAUUCCUUGUUGUUUUGGCUGGCAUGAUGAGUUCCUGAAUUCUCAGAGUGAAAGCCACUCGAGGCGCUAUGUUGGCUAGAUCGCCGGGAUUUAUCUAACGUGGUACCAAAACAAUAAAAUUAUGUUGACAAUAAUCUCUUGAAUAAUACUAAACAAAUUUCGGCUUACCUGAUUGGCUGCUGUAUUGUGACGGAGCUGUGCUGGAUGUACUAGCAGUAUCUCCUCCCUGACCACCAGAAAGUGUUGAAAACUUGUGACCUUUAUUCCGACUCAGCUUUCCCGUCACUGGGGUUGUGCUGGUCGAUGUUGUGUUGGACACGACGGUCUUCUUUUCGACUGUCGCCAUAGUUUCUCCUUGUGAUUCGUUAAAAACAGCCUCAGAGUUCUCGUCUGAUAACAAGAUAUUGGAGAUUGCAACGUGAAAGUUCUAGAAGUCGAUGCUUUAUGUAAUUCGACCUACCUGGAGGAGACAUUCCGGAAGCUUUUCUCUGUGCCGAAUCAGAAGAAUCGGAUGUCGGAUCCGACGACGAAGUCAAGAUCUGUGGACUAUUGCAAGGGCCAAUCUGUAACGAGAUUCAACACAAACAUAUUGAAUUAUCAAAGCUAAAAAAUAAAAAAAUCGUUAUAGUAGUGUGAAGGCUCUUACCGGAGGCGAAGUGUUGCUCUCGUCGUCAUCCUCGGAUGAUUCGGAUGUAGUGGGAUUGAUCCAUGUGCCAAGCAAUUUCUGCAUAUUCUCGACAUGCUGAUCUUUGUAGAAUAGAGCAAUCAGCUGAACGAUUGUCACCACCCAUUCGUCCUGAGUUUUCAAAAAUAGAUCAACAAUUAUGCACGGCUCACCGAACUGGCAUAAUUUGGCUUA